GAAGGAUUCAUCGGAAGAGGAUGGGCAUGCGGCGCAUUAGCUAGACGGCGGGGUAACGGCCCACCGUGGCGACGAUGCGUAGGGGUUCUGAGAGGAAGGUCCCCCACACUGGUACUGAGACACGGACCAGACUCCUACGGGAGGCAGCAGUGAGGAAUAUUGGUCAAUGGGAGAGAUCCUGAACCAGCCAAGCCGCGUGAGGGAAGACGGCCCUAUGGGUUGUAAACCUCUUUUGUCGGAGAACAAAACCCGGGACGUGUCCCGGACUGCGUGUAUCCGAAGAAAAAGCAUCGGCUAACUCCGUGCCAGCAGCCGCGGUAAUACGGAGGAUGCGAGCGUUAUCCGGAUUUAUUGGGUUUAAAGGGUGCGUAGGCGGUCCGUUAAGUCAGCGGUAAAAUUGCGGGGCUCAACCCCGUCGAGCCGUUGAAACUGGCAGACUUGAGUUGGCGAGAAGUACGCGGAAUGCGCGGUGUAGCGGUGAAAUGCAUAGAUAUCGCGCAGAACUCCGAUUGCGAAGGCAGCGUACCGGCGCCAGACUGACGCUGAGGCACGAAAGCGUGGGGAUCGAACAGGAUUAGAUACCCUGGUAGUCCACGCAGUAAACGAUGAAUGCUGGUUGUCCGGGUCGAAUGAGAUCUGG
rnacentral:rRNA from 1 species